GGCUUGAUGGUCUAGAGGUUAUGAUUCCUGCUUUGGGUAAAUAGUACUCGUUUGUAAGAGGUCCUGGGUUCAACUCCCAAUCGAACCC